GCCCUGGUGGCGGAAUUGGCAGACGCACCAGACUUAAAAUCUGGGGUUCCGUAAGGAGCGUGCGGGUUCAAGUCCCGCCCGGGGCA
rnacentral:tRNA from 1 species